AUUGAACGCUGGCGGCAUGCCUUACACAUGCAAGUCGAACGGCAGCGGGGGAGAAGCUUGCUUUUCCUGCCGGCGAGUGGCGAACGGGUGAGUAAUACAUCGGAACGUGCCCUGUAGUGGGGGAUAACUAGUCGAAAGAUUAGCUAAUACCGCAUACGACCUGAGGGUGAAAGUGGGGGACCGCAAGGCCUCAUGCUAUAGGAGCGGCCGAUGUCUGAUUAGCUAGUUGGUGGGGUAAAGGCCUACCAAGGCGACGAUCAGUAGCUGGUCUGAGAGGACGAUCAGACACACUGGGACUGAGACACGGCCCAGACUCCUACGGGAGGCAGCAGUGGGGAAUUUUGGACAAUGGGCGAAAGCCUGAUCCAGCAAUGCAGCGUGUGUGAAGAAGGCCUUCGGGUUGUAAAGCACUUUUGUCCGGAAAGAAAUGGCUCUGGUUAAUACCUGGGGUCGAUGACGGUACCGGAAGAAUAAGGACCGGCUAACUACGUGCCAGCCGCCGCGGUAAUAC
rnacentral:rRNA from 1 species